UAGGGAAUAUUGGACAAUGGGGGAAACCCUGAUCCAGCCAUGCCGCGUGUGUGAUGAAGGCCUUCGGGUUGUAAAGCACUUUUAGUUGGGAAGAAAACAAUGACGGUACCAACAGAAAAAGCACCGGCUAACUCUGUGCCAGCAGCCGCGGUAAUACAGAGGGUGCAAGCGUUAAUCGGAUUUACUGGGCGUAAAGAGCACGUAGGUGGUUUUUUAAGUCUGUCAUGAAAUCCCCGGGCUCAACCUGGGAACUGUGAUAGAAACUGGAAAGCUAGAGUAUGGGAGAGGAGAGUAGAACUUCGGGUGUAGCGGUGAAAUGCGUAGAUAUCCGAAGGAAUGACAGUGGCGAAGGCGACUCUCUGGUCCAAGACUGACACUGAGGUGCGAAAGCGUGGGGAGCAAAAGGG
rnacentral:rRNA from 1 species